UGGGGAAUAUUGCACAAUGGGCGCAAGCCUGAUGCAGCCAUGCCGCGUGUAUGAAGAAGGCCUUCGGGUUGUAAAGUACUUUCAGCGGGGAGGAAGGCGAUAAGGUUAAUAACCUUGUCGAUUGACGUUACCCGCAGAAGAAGCACCGGCUAACUCCGUGCCAGCAGCCGCGGUAAUACGGAGGGUGCAAGCGUUAAUCGGAAUUACUGGGCGUAAAGCGCACGCAGGCGGUCUGUCAAGUCGGAUGUGAAAUCCCCGGGCUCAACCUGGGAACUGCAUUCGAAACUGGCAGGCUAGAGUCUUGUAGAGGGGGGUAGAAUUCCAGGUGUAGCGGUGAAAUGCGUAGAGAUCUGGAGGAAUACCGGUGGCGAAGGCGGCCCCCUGGACAAAGACUGACGCUCAGGUGCGAAAGCGUCGGGAGCAAACA
rnacentral:rRNA from 1 species